AACUGUUCAUGAUGAUUUUUCAAGCAAAAACAGAUGGGAAUCUCUCUGAUACUGAAUGAGGAGUAACUUUUAAAACUGAAACAGUC